rnacentral:rRNA from 1 species
UACGAAGGGUGCAAGCGUUACUCGGAAUUACUGGGCGUAAAGCGUGCGUAGGCGGUUCGUUAAGUCUGUCGUGAAAGCCCUGGGCUCAACCUGGGAAUUGCGAUGGAUACUGGCGAGCUAGAGUACGGUAGAGGAUGGUGGAAUUCCCGGUGUAGCGGUGAAAUGCGUAGAGAUCGGGAGGAACACCCGUGGCGAAGGCGGCCAUCUGGACCAGUACUGACGCUGAGGCACGAAAGCGUGGGGGAGCAAACAGG